rnacentral:rRNA from 1 species
GACGAACCACACAAACGUUAUUCGGAAUCACUGGGCUUAAAGGGUGCGUAGGCGGCGCGGAAAGUAGGGUGUGAAAUCCCUCGGCUCAACCGAGGAAUAGCGCCCUAAACUACCGUGCUCGAGGGAGAUAGAGGUGAGCGGAACUUAGGGUGGAGCGGUGAAAUGCGUUGAUAUCCUAAGGAACACCGGUGGCGAAAGCGGCUCACUGGAUCUCUUCUGACGCUGAGGCACGAAAGCUAGGGUAGCGAACGGG